AUGCAAGUCGAGCGGGCGUAGCAAUACGUCAGCGGCAGACGGGUGAGUAACGCGUGGGAACGUACCUUUUGGUUCGGAACAACACAGGGAAACUUGUGCUAAUACCGGAUAAGCCCUUACGGGGAAAGAUUUAUCGCCGAAAGAUCGGCCCGCGUCUGAUUAGCUAGUUGGUGAGGUAAUGGCUCACCAAGGCGACGAUCAGUAGCUGGUCUGAGAGGAUGAUCAGCCACAUUGGGACUGAGACACGGCCCAAACUCCUACGGGAGGCAGCAGUGGGGAAUAUUGGACAAUGGGGGCAACCCUGAUCCAGCCAUGCCGCGUGAGUGAUGAAGGCCCUAGGGUUGCAAAGCUCUUUUGUGCGGGAAGAUAAUGACGGUACCGCAAGAAUAAGCCCCGGCUAACUUCGUGCCAGCAGCCGCGGUAAUACGAAGGGGGCUAGCGUNGCUCGGAAUCACUGGGC
rnacentral:rRNA from 1 species